rnacentral:rRNA from 1 species
AGUGAACGCUGGCGGUAGGCCUAACACAUGCAAGUCGAACGGCAGCACAGUAAGAGCUUGCUCUUACGGGUGGCGAGUGGCGGACGGGUGAGGAAUACAUCGGAAUCUACUUUUUCGUGGGGGAUAACGUAGGGAAACUUACGCUAAUACCGCAUACGACCUACGGGUGAAAGCAGGGGAUCUUCGGACCUUGCGCGAUUGAAUGAGCCGAUGUCGGAUUAGCUAGUUGGCGGGGUAAAGGCCCACCAAGGCGACGAUCCGUAGCUGGUCUGAGAGGAUGAUCAGCCACACUGGAACUGAGACACGGUCCAGACUCCUACGGGAGGCAGCAGUGGGGAAUAUUGGACAAUGGGCGCAAGCCUGAUCCAGGCAUACCGCGUGGGUGAAGAAGGCCUUCGGGUUGUAAAGCCCUUUUGUUGGGAAAGAAAAGCAGCAGGUUAAUACCCCGCUGUUCUGACGGUACCCAAAGAAUAAGCACCGGCUAACUUCGUG